rnacentral:other from 1 species
UGAGUCCUGAGAUGUUCGAUACUCCUUGUUAUUUUGAACCUACAUUUCUUUAAAAGGGAUUCCUAUUAUUCGUAAGCCUAUGUCAGGCCGCCGUUUGCAGCGGAAGACAGAAGUUUAUGUGCGGUUGCCCACCUAGCUAUGGCUAGGAGUCAAAAUACAGGAAACGGCAUUUUGGGUGAAUA